CAAUAGCGUAUAUUUAAGUUGUUGCAGUUAAAAAGCUCGUAGUUGGAUUUCGGUUAAGAGCGACCGGUCCGCCGUUUGGUGUGCACUGGUUGGUUUUAACUUCCUGUAGAGGACGUGCUCUGGGCUUAACGGUCUGGACUCGGAGUCUACGUGGUUACUUUGAAAAAAUUAGAGUGUUCAAAGCAGGCCUAUGCUCUGAAUAGGUUAGCAUGGAAUAAUAAAAUAGGACUUUGGUUCUAUUUUGUUGGUUUCUAGGACCGAAGUAAUGAUUAAUAGGGACAGUUGGGGGCAUUCAUAUUCCAAUGUCAGAGGUGAAAUUCUUGGAUUAUCGGAAGAUGAACUUCUGCGAAAGCAUCUGCCAAGGAUGUUUUCAUUGAUCAAGAACGAAAGUUAGGGGAUCGAAGACGAUUAGAUACCGU
rnacentral:rRNA from 1 species